AACCCAUGAUGAUGGCACCUUCUUAAAAGAUCCUUAAAUCUCUCCCAUGCAUCAUAUAAUGUCUCCAACUCAAUUUGAGCAAAAGGAGAGAUGUCAUUCCUCAACUU
rfam:Gossypium raimondii chromosome 5, whole genome shotgun sequence.